rnacentral:rRNA from 1 species
GGGGAAUUUUCCGCAAUGGGCGCAAGCCUGACGGAGCAAGACCGCGUGAGGGAAGAAGGUCUGUGGAUUGUAAACCUCUUUUGAUAGGGAAGAAGACAGUGACGGUACCUAUCGAAUCAGCCUCGGCUAACUCCGCGCCAGCAGCCGCGGUAAUACGGAGGAGGCAAGCGUUAUCCGGAAUUAUUGGGCGUAAAGAGUCCGUAGGUGGGUAACCAAGUCAGCUGUUAAAUAGUGAAGCUUAACUUCAUAGAGGCGGCUGAAACUGGUUGUCUAGAGUGUGGUAGGGGUAGAGGGAAUUUCCAGUGUAGCGGUGAAAUGCGUAGAUAUUGGAAAGAACACCGGUGGCGAAAGCGCUCUACUGGGCCUGCACUGACACUGAGGGACGAAAGCUAGGGGAGCGAAAGGGAUUAGAUACCCCUGUAGUCCUAGCCGUAAACGAUGGAUACUAGGCGUUGCCCGUAUCGACCCGGGCAGUGUCGUAGCCAACGCGUUAAGUAUCC